UACGUAGGGGGGCAAGCGUUGUCCGGAUUUAUUGGGCGUAAAGAGCGUGUAGGCGGCCAGACAAGUCUGCUGUGAAAACUCGAGGCUCAACCUCGAGCUGUCGGUGGAAAACUGUCUGGCUAGAGUCCGGAAGAGGAGAGUGGAAUUCCUGGUGUAGCGGUGAAAUGCGCAGAUAUCAGGAAGAACACCUAUGGCGAAGGCAGCUCUCUGGGACGGUACUGACGCUGAGACGCGAAAGCGUGGGGAGCGAACAGG
rnacentral:rRNA from 1 species